GCAGUCGUGGCCGAGUGGUUAAGGUGAAGGACUAGAAAUCCAUUGGAGCCUCCCCGCACAGGUUCGAAUCCUGUCGACUGCA
rfam:Ixodes scapularis strain Wikel colony gcontig_1108379314766, whole genome shotgun sequence.